UUAAAUAGGGCGUGAAACUGCACACUGAAAAGCGAAUGAGUACACAUGGGUUCUGGUUGUUAUUGAGUGGGUGUAACAGGUUGGUACGAUUGUCGUCGCGUUAAUGCUUCUCGUCCCAGCUGUUAUACGUAUUGUAUUUGGUAGCCUGACGUUCUGCUUGGCUUCAUAACAGCUACAGUCACAGUGAAGUACACCUCUCCCUUGUGGAGACGGAUGUGUCACUCGUAGCCUUAUUAUGUUAACAAUAGAGAAUUUCUGUUCGUGGUCAACUGUGCUCGUUUAACACGGGCGCAGUCGUUAGCUGCAAUGGAGCUUGAGAUACUCUGAUUCACAGAGCCUUAAGAUGACUGAUGGGUUGUUGAUGAUCGUGCUUUUGCACGCGCUGCGUUUUGGUUGCAUUGGUUAUGUGAUUGCUUUUUAAAGCAGUUUGUGUUGUGGCAUCAUUCGAACCGUCUUGAAACACGGGCUAAGGAGUUCAACAGAUGCGCGAGUUUACUGGUCUUGUGAAACCAGAUGGCUAAGUUAAUGCGAUUUUGUGUAUAAUGGAGAGAACUCGUCCACUCUUUCGAGUUGUACGAGGUCACCUCCUAUGAUGGAUGGCUUGUAAAGUACCGGUGGCUGUUCGCAGUCGAGCGCAUAUGCUGAGACCCGAAAGAUGGUGAACUAUGCCUGGGUAGGAUGAAGCCGGAGGAAACUCUGGUGGAGGUCCGAAGCGUUUUUGACGUGCAAAUCAAUCGUCAGACUUGGGUAUAGGGGCGAAAGACUAAUCGAACCAUCUAGUAGCUGGUUCCCUUCGAAGUUUCCCCCAGGAAAGCUGGUGCCAUGUUUGACAGUUUUAUCUGGUAAAGCGAAUGAUUAGAGGCAUUGGGGACGAAUUGUCCUCGACCUAUUCUCAAACUUUAAAUGGGUAAUGUGCCGUUGCACUUCUUGAUGAUAUUCUUGAGUGCUCGGUCAAAUGCAAUGGCGCCAAGUGGGCCAUUUUUGGUAAGCAGAACUGGCGAUGUGGGAUGAACCAAACGUUGAGCUAGGAUGCCCAAAGUGCUUCUCAUGAGAUACCAUGAAAGGUGUCAGUCGAUAUUGACAGCAGGACGGUGGCCGCAGAAGUAGGAAUCCGCUAAGGAGUGUGUAACAACUCACCUGCCGAAUCGACUGGUCCUGAAAAUGGAUGGCGCUGGAGACGUAUAUCCAUGCUCGACCGUCAAUGCCAACGAAAGCGAUUGCUAUAUGGUUUGACGUGUAGAAGGGCGAUUGCCGUGGCGUCGAAACUUGCACCGUGAGGUGGGGUAGAGCUGCGGCAUGUGCAGAUCUUGGUGGUAGUAGCAAGUAUUCAAAUGAGAGCAUUGAAGACUGAAGUGGAGUAAGGUUCCAUGUGAACAGCAUUUGGACAUGGAUCAGCCGAUCCUAAGAGAACGUGAAAGUUCGUGAUUAAGCGCGUCGCCUUGUGCGUCGCUAUCGAAAGGGAAUCGGGUUAAUAUUCCCGAGCCAGGAUACGGAAUGGGUCUGAUUCAUCGAAUGCGCCUUGUGCGUGUUCGACUUCAGACAAGAGCGGCAACGCUAGCAAACCCAGAGAUUAACUAUGCGAAGUCCGGGGAAGAGUUUUCUCUUCUUUGUAAGGUAUGUUAUCCCUGGAAACAGAUUGUCUGGCGAUAGGGUACGCAUCCCGUAAUGCAACGCGAUUCCUGCGAUGUACCGUGCGCUUCGCAUAGUGCUUGAAAAUCUGGGGGCGAGUUUGUUCAGGCCGUACCUGUUCGUACUGAUUUCCGCAGCAGGUCUCCAAGGUGAGCAGCCUCUAGUCGAUGGGACAAAGUAGACAAGGGAAGUCGGCAAAUUAGAUCCGUAACUUCGGAAAAAGGAUUGGCUCUAAAGGCUGAGUUGGUCGGGCGUUUGUUUGAAACUGGGGGCGCAUCCUUGUCUCUGUCUCUGACUUUGCACCAGCAAUGGUGCGGGGUUGAGGACGAGCAGGGUUAGCGCACUCUGUGGACUGCAGGCGCUAUGCCACCCACGUGGACUUCUUAACCCAAAUUUUGAACCAUGUGAUGUGGAUCCGAUCAGCGUUAAACAGCUGACCUAGAACUGGUAUGGACAAGGGGAAUCCAACUGUUUAAUUAAAACAAAGCAUUGCGAUAGCUGUAAUCGGUGUUGACGCGAUGUGAUUUCUGCCCAGUGCUCUGAAUGUUAAAGUGAAGGAACUCAUCCAAGCGCGAGUUAACGGCGGAAGUAACUAUGACUUUCUUAAGGUAACCAAAUGCCUCGUCAUCUAAUUAGUGACGUGCAUGAAUGGAUUAUUGAGAUUCCUUCUGUCCCUGUCUGCAACCUAGCGAAACCACAGCCAAGGGAACGGGCUUGGAGAGUAACAGCGGGGAAAGAAGACCCUGUUGAGCUUGACUCUAGUCAGUCUUUGUGAAGAAACAUGAUGGGUGUAGAAUAGGUGGGAGGACGCAACAGUGAAAUACCACUACCAUCAUCGUUUCUUUACUUACUCAAUUGAUCAGGGAGCGUGAAUUCGCUAUUUGCGAUAUGUAAUUAUUCCUCAAGUGGAAUAAGUGUCUGGUUUGAGAACACAGACUGAUUGGGAGUUUGACUGGGGCGGUACAUCUGUUAAAAUCUAACGCAGGUGUCCUAAGGCAAUCUCAGCGUGGACAGAAACCUCGCAUAGAGCGAAAUGGGCAAAAGAUUGCUUGAUC
rnacentral:rRNA from 1 species